rnacentral:rRNA from 1 species
GUGGGGAAUCUUGCGCAAUGGGCGAAAGCCUGACGCAGCCAUGCCGCGUGAAUGAUGAAGGUCUUAGGAUUGUAAAAUUCUUUCACCGGGGACGAUAAUGACGGUACCCGGAGAAGAAGCCCCGGCUAACUUCGUGCCAGCAGCCGCGGUAAUACGAAGGGGGCUAGCGUUGCUCGGAAUUACUGGGCGUAAAGGGCGGGUAGGCGGACAGUUUAGUCAGAGGUGAAAGCCCAGGGCUCAACCGUGGAAUUGCCUUUGAUACUGGCUGUCUUGAGUACGGGAGAGGUGAGUGGAACUCCGAGUGUAGAGGUGAAAUUCGUAGAUAUUCGGAAGAACACCAGUGGCGAAGGCGACUCACUGGCCCGUUACUGACGCUGAGGCGCGAAAGCGUGGGGAGCAAACAGGAUUAGAUACCCGGGUAGUCC